rnacentral:rRNA from 1 species
UACGUAGGGUGCAAGCGUUGUCCGGAAUUAUUGGGCGUAAAGAGCUCGUAGGCGGUCUGUCACGUCGGCUGUGAAAACCCGGGGCUCAACCCCGGGCCUGCAGUCGAUACGGGCAGACUAGAGUGCGGUAGGGGAGACUGGAAUUCCUGGUGUAGCGGUGAAAUGCGCAGAUAUCAGGAGGAACACCGGUGGUGUAGACGGCUUUCUGGACCGUAACUGACGCUGAGACACGAAAGCGUGGGUAGCAAACAGG